rfam:Brassica rapa chromosome A4, whole genome shotgun sequence.
AGGGAUGUAGCUCAUAUGGUUGAUUGCUCGCUUUGCAUGCGAGAGGCACACGGUUCGAUUCCAUGCAUCUCCA